UAUACACAUUUGCUGAAUGACUGUAGAUGCCCUGGUCCAAUCCGAUGAAGCACUUCUGUGUCCUGCUCAAAGAAUAACUGUCCUUUCCACCUGAGAGGGGGUGACAACUUCCUUGGUGAUCAAAGGCAAGAUCUUUUUGCUUUAUGCUGUUAACCUUAGGCGGGGAGACUGGGGGAUCUUCAUAUAUAUUUUUAAAUUUGGUUCACUCUGCAGUUUGUCUUUGGUCUCUGUAUAAUUUUGAGAAACUCUUUAUGAGUGAUCAUUCUUCCAUCAGAUUGAACAGGGUCCAGGGUGAAGGACCAAGCCUGUCCCAUCGGCCAUCCUAUGUGUCAUGUCCUGGGACCCAGUGGAUGCUCAGCACCUGAAGAAGAUUGUCUUAGACACAUGGAAGCUGAGGACGCCUACUGUCCCCUCGGAACCCAGCUUCUGCAUCUCUGAAGACAGAUGAUGAGGACCCUUC